AUUACCAACAUUUUAACAAAUAAAGAGACGGCGGUUUUACAAACAAAAGUCAACGGUGGUGGCUGAUCCAGGGGCGAAAGUACAAAGAACAACAAAGAAAUGCAGACUGUCAAAGGGUGGUGGUUAUUCUGGAGGCGGUGUGGGGUCCUUGGGGUCCUGGGGGCGCGGGCCCAGCCUCCUUUAUUACCUGGGAAAUAGUUCCCAUCCUGUGUUAACCUGUACAAAGGAGCCGUGGGCACCCUUCCCCCUGUAUUUUAUAUCUUGCAGUGAAACAUUAUGGAAACUUUUAAAAACGUGUGAGCAAUCGCUUGCUGUAAAAAAGAUAAUCCCAUGACAGCCGAAAGAGGGGAAAAAAAAAAAAAAAAGGUGACUAUUUGUCUUGUUUAAAAGACGGAGCGAGCUGCUUCGUGGCCCCUUUGGAGACCGUGCCCUGCAGAGAAUCACGAUGCGGGAAGGAUGAGUCAUUUUCCAAAUUAUAUGAAUAAUGCAAACACGCGGAGAUGGGCUCAGGUUGGAAAUUUGCAAGCGAAAAGAGCUCUUAGCGGUUCUGUAGAAAUGUCUUUUUGUGCUGGGUUUUGAGACAUGACAUUUAUCUUUUAAAUGUCAAGCUCUGAGCCCGGAACGGCGCCGUUAAAGCAGCCAUUACUGAGAUGGAAAAUUCGUGCCACCUCCGCGACCCGGGAGGGAGGCUGAUGGGGGCAGCGCACGAGGUUUUCAACGUCUGCUUCACCCAGUAUUAUAUUUUCUCCAUGGACUGAAUAAGCACUCAUUUUUUUUUUUUCUAAAAAAACAGUUCAGAAUCAUGGUGAUCAUAGGCCAUAUUAUUAUGACUAAUGGUUUGGAGAUGGGCGGUGAGCAGGAAGCACUGAUCCGCACCAGGAAUUCCUGCGCCGACCCCAGCAGAUGUUUUCAAGGGCACAGAGCCGGGGUGGGGGGAUCUGCACUGUCCAGCGGCACUGACCUGGGUGCCUCAGGCCAGCAUCUCUCUGCACAGCGACCCCGGCCUCCGAGGGACCUCGACAAGGGUCUUGGCACCAGCAGGAUUGAGAACAAGAGAGUGGACACACCCUAAGUAUCCACCCACGUGGGAACACACGGUGCAUCAGGCCUCGGAAUGGUAUACAGCCACCAAAAAGAGGGAGGCCCCCUCUCCGUAUGCCGCCAUAGACCCGUCCCUAAGACACAUCAUUGUGUGAAAAAAUAAAAAAUGAAACACAAAACGUGACAGAACCUCAUGUUUGGUGUUAAUAUGGGAAAAAAAGAAAACACACUUUUUCUGUAUACGUGGAAUCCCUGUGAGGUUAGGGAAAAUCUGGUAACCUCGGGUGCCGCAGAGUUGGGGGGGUGGAGGAUGGCAGGGGACUGUGGGACGCGCAUCCUCUUAGGUCAUUUGAGUCUCUUGUUUUGUGACCGUAUUAACUACAUCUUGAAAUCAGACAGUUUAAAUCCCCCAGCUUUGCUCUUUUUUGUUUCCUUAAGGACUUUUUUUGUUUUUUAACCAGUUCUAGAUCCUUUGUAAUUCUAUGUGAACUUUAUUUAUGUAUUUGUAUUUUUUUUUUUUUUUUGCUUUUUCUUGGGCCGCUCCCGCGGCAUAUGGAGGUUCCCAGGCUAGGGGUCGAAUCGGAGCGGUAGCCACAGGCCUACGCCAGAGCCACAGCAACGUGGGAUCCGAGCCGCGUCUGCAACCUACACCACAGCUCACGGCAACGCCGGAUCCUUUACUCACUGAGCGAGGCCAGGGAUCGAACCCACAACCUCAUGGUUCCUAGUCGGAUUUGUUAACCACUGCGCCAUGACGGGAACUCCAUAUUUGUAUUUUUUAAAAUGAUUAUUCUUUUCCUUGGAGGGCCACAUGUGCAGCAUAUUGAAGUUCCUGGCGUGGGGUCAAAUCAGAGCUGCAGCCUCCACCACAGCUCACAGCAACACUGGAUCCUUAACCCACUGAGCAAGGCCAGGGAUGGAACCCGUGUCCUCGUGAAUUCUAGCUGGGUUCAUAGCCUGCUGAGCCACGAUGGCUAUUUAUGUAUUUUUAAGCUGAAGUACAGUUGAUUUACAAUGUUGUGUUAGUGUCAGGGGUUCCACAAAGUGAUUCACAUAUAUAUGAAAUAGAUAUGUAUAUACAUAUUUCCCUGUGCCAUACAGUAGGUCCUUGUUGUUUAUCUAUUUUCUGUAGAGUAGUGUGUAUCUCCUUUUUUUGGCCACACCUUCAGCACACGGAAGCUCCCAAGCCAGGGAUCGAACCCGAGCCACAGCUGCAACCCGAGCAGCUGCAGUGACAAUGUCAGAUCCUUAACUGCACACGCACAUCCUAUAAAUACUAAGCUCCAGUCUGCCCGAGACAACAGACCUCUUAGCUAAUGUCAUGCAAAUUGCUGUCUCUCCUUAGGCCUGCUCCUCCACCGACUCAUCCCGAAGACGCACACAAGGAGCU
rnacentral:lncRNA from 1 species